rnacentral:tRNA from 1 species
UAGUAAUUAGUUUAAAUAAAACAAUUGAUUUCGACUCAUUAAACUGUGAUUUAAUUCACAAUUACUAA